AAACUGGAAAACCAAAUAAUGUUUAUCUUCUCAAGGUCACCUUGGAUUAAUCUCGGUCUUUGAGAGAAGGAAGAGGAACUAUGGCUGCUGAAACUUCUGUCCAGGAGCCAACAAUCUUUGAACAGGUAACUGUGUCUUUGACGGAGGAAAAAGAAUUCAUUUGGGAUCCCUACCUCUUUGCCCUCAGCGGCAGCAAUCUCCAGCAGUACUGCACCAUGCUGUCCUGCUUGGAUCAGCAGAAUCCUAAGCCUGAAGUGUUUUGGAAGACAUCCCAGGGCAUGUCUGUGCCCCUCUCUCUGGUCCAGGUUGUGGAGGAAUUCGAAGUUUUGCCGUACUCCUAUCGAGAUGGACACAAGAGGACAAUGCAAGCAAAAUCGCAUGAGCCCCCGCUGCCAGGAAGCAGUAGGAACCUGGUGCAUCUGCGGUAUAAUUUCAUGCCAAAUUUUACAAGAGGUGUCCUCAGGAGAAAACCCUCCAGCUGUUCAGCGGCUUCCAAGCUCCAACAAGAAGUUGAGACAAAGAGCCCGGAG
rnacentral:lncRNA from 1 species